UACGUAGGGUGCAAGCGUUGUCCGGAAUUAUUGGGCGUAAAGAGCUCGUAGGCGGUCUGUUGCGUCGGCUGUGAAAACCCGAGGCUCAACCUCGGGGCUGCAGCCGAUACGGGCAGACUAGAGUUCGGCAGGGGAGAGUGGAAUUCCUGGUGUAGCGGUGAAAUGCGCAGAUAUCAGGAGGAACACCGGUGGCGAAGGCGGGUCUCUGGGCCGAUACUGACGCUGAGGAGCGAAAGCGUGGGGAGCGAACAGG
rnacentral:rRNA from 1 species